rnacentral:rRNA from 1 species
UACGUAGGUGGCAAGCGUUGUUCGGAAUUACUGGGCGUAAAGGGCGCGUAGGCGGUCAGCACAAGUCAGUUGUGAAAUCUCCGGGCUUAACUCGGAAAGGUCAACUGAUACUGUGCGACUAGAGUGCGGAAGGGGCAACUGGAAUUCUCGGUGUAGCGGUGAAAUGCGUAGAUAUCGAGAGGAACACCUGCGGCGAAGGCGGGUUGCUGGGCCGACACUGACGCUGAUGCGCGAAAGCCAGGGGAGCGAACGGG